UGUGGAGCUGGUGGCGGCGCUCCGCAGGGGCUCGGCUGUUUUCCGCGCGGCAGGCGCAGCCAUGGCGCAGCUGGGGAAGCUGCUCAAGGAGCAGAAGUACGACCGGCAGCUGAGGUUGUGGGGUGAUCAUGGGCAAGAGGCUUUAGAAUCUGCUCAUGUUUGCCUAAUAAAUGCAACAGCCACAGGAACUGAAAUUCUUAAAAACUUGGUACUACCAGGUAUUGGUUCGUUUACAAUUAUUGAUGGAAAUCAGGUCAGCGGAGAAGAUGCUGGAAACAAUUUCUUCCUUCAAAGAAGCAGUAUCGGCAAGGUAAACAAUUAGAGAAUAUAGUUGGAUGUGAGCAUCUAAUGAUGCCACUGUGUUUUGAUUGCUUGAAAAGCUUUGACUUUAAAAACGUGUAUUAUUUCUCUGAGAAAAAAGUUAACUAAUUUUUGUAAUCUUGUAAAUCUUCAUAUGUUUGGUAGUUUAAGAACUUAGAGGUGUACUAUCUGUGUUUAUACAUUGUAUCCUGUAUUAAAGCUAAAUCUUGAGUAAUGUUAAUAUUCAGAGGGUGGAUUCUGGUUAACAAAUUUUUUUUUUUUUUUUUUUUGAGACGGAGUCUCGCUCUGUCCCCCAGGCUAGAGUGCAGUGGCGGAUCUCAACUCACUGCAAGCUCCACCUCCCA
rnacentral:sRNA from 1 species